GAUGAACGCUGGCGGCGUGCCUAAUACAUGCAAGUCGAGCGAACAGAUGAGGAGCUUGCUCCUCUGACGUUAGCGGCGGACGGGUGAGUAACACGUGGAUAACCUACCUAUAAGACUGGGAUAACUUCGGGAAACCGGAGCUAAUACCGGAUAAUAUAUUGAACCGCAUGGUUCAAUAGUGAAAUACGGUUUUUCUGUCACUUAUAGAUGGAUCCGCGCCGCAUUAGCUAGUUGGUAAGGUAACGGCUUACCAAGGGUACGAUGCGUAGCCGACCUGAGAGAGUGAUCGGCCACACUGGAACUGAGACACGGUCCAGACUACUACGGGAGGCAGCAGUAGGGAAUCUUCCGCAGUGGGCGAAAGCCUGACGGAGCAACGCCGAGUGAGUGAUGAAGGUCUUCGGAUCGUAAAACUCUGUUAUUAGGGAAGAACAAAUGUGUAAGUAACUAUGCACGUCUUGACGGUACCUAAUCAGAAAGCCACGGCUAACUACGUG
rnacentral:rRNA from 1 species